CUUUCAGGAACAGGGGAGUGUGCUUCUACCACAGCUGAUCGAUGCAAUUAGGAGGUGUGGCCAAAUGUUAGAUAGUUUGAAGUUAGGCACGGUCUACAUCGUUGAGAGCGUGUUACGGUGUCACCACAAGAAGACUGCGAUCGACCCCUUCUAUCUGGAGAUUGUUGAUGAUAUUGAUCGUUUCAACGACCAUCCACGGGACCGGAGAUAUUUUGAGGAUACCGUACACGUCUUCACCCGAUCGCACUCGAAACCCAAGGAGGUCAUGCGCAAGUGCGACACUUAUGGAUUGCCCUUGGCGAUGCAAAUUUGGGUGUACAAGACUGUCCCUCUAUUGGGUACCCGUUUUGCAAGGUGAGGGGAGACAUGCUGCCCUCGGAUGCACCAUUGGAGAGCAUCUCGAGCGGAGGGAUGUCCCACUGGGAGACAGUUAUCGGCUCUCCUCGAUGACCCUCAGGUGAGUAUUAUGUAUUUGUGGUUUAUAUUGUACAUAAUUUAAAAUUUGAUUACAUGAUCAUUAACUAAUUUAAAUGUCAAUAUGUCAUCUUGAAACUAUAUUUGAGUUGACGUCGUCGAUGGAGGAGGCUCAAGGUUGUGUGCGUGAAUUCGGCCUUCCGCACACCCAAGACGACUAGAUGUCCGAUUCAAUGGACGAUCGAGAUUGGGAGCAUGGUCUGGUUGAUCUACGACCUCCACCCCCG